UACGUAGGUGGCAAGCGUUGUCCGGAAUUAUUGGGCGUAAAGGGCGCGUAGGCGGAUUUGUAAGUCAGAUGUGAAAUUCCGGGGCUCAACCUCGGAGCUGCAUUUGAAACUGUGAAUCUAGAGGGUUGACGGAGAAAACGGAAUUCCACGUGUAGCGGUGAAAUGCGUAGAUAUGUGGAAGAGCACCAGUGGCGAAAGCGGUUUUCUAGUUAAUACCUGACGCUGAGGCGCGAGAGCAAGGGGAGCAAACAGG
rnacentral:rRNA from 1 species